GGCGGGGCUGGGGAGCCGGGCUGGAAGCGCCGGGGCGGUUCUAGAAGCACGGCGGGCCGGGCUGCGCUGCAGGGUGCUCUGUGAAGGCGAAGCUGAGCUGAGAGGCCACUGCUGCCAUCUUCACUACGGAAUACUUCAGCUUUCUGACACCAAGGACUCAGAAAAUAAUCCCACAGUUUGUUACAGAUUUGAACUAUUUGGAAGAUGAAGCUCUGGAUGCAGUUGGUGCUCUCUACCUGUUAUCUCUUGAUCUGGCACACAGAAGCUGAGUUCUUCACUUCCAUAGGUCAAAUGACAGACCUGAUUUAUGCAGAGAAAGACUUGGUCCAGUCAUUAAAGGAAUAUAUCCGAGCAGAAGAGAGCAAACUCGCUCAGAUUAAAAGCUGGGCUGAAAAGAUGGAUGUACUGACUAGCAAAUCCACCUCUGAUCCAGAAGGGUACCUGGCACAUCCUGUAAAUGCUUAUAAGCUGGUGAAGCGUUUAAAUACUGACUGGCUGGAAUUGGAAAACCUGGUUCUUCAGGAUACAACAAAUGGCUUCAUUGCAAACCUCACACUUCAGCGUCAGUUUUUUCCGACGGAAGAAGAUGAGACGGGAGCUGCCAAGGCCCUGAUGCGCCUGCAGGACACGUACAGACUGGAUCCUGAAACUCUCUCUCGAGGAAACUUACCAGGAACAAAGUACAGGUCCUCUCUGACAGUAGGGGACUGCUUUGGCAUGGGGAAGACUGCUUACAACGAUGGAGACUACUAUCACACAGUGCUCUGGAUGGAGCAAGCCUUAAAACAGCAUGAUGAGGGCGAGGAUACAACAGUCAGCAAAGUGGAGAUCCUGGAUUAUCUCAGCUAUGCUGUUUUCCAGUUUGGGGAUUUACACAGAGCCAUGGAGCUUACCAGGCGGCUGAUAUCCCUUGACAGUACCCAUGAGAGAGCAGGCAGUAACCUGCGGUACUUUGAGAAGCUGCUGGAGAAGGAGAGAGAGGAGAAGGAGAAAGAUAAGUCAACAAACAAGACCACAACGACAGAACCAGUGGUGCAAAGUGGUACCUAUGAGAGGCCUCUUGACUACCUGCCAGAGCGUGAUAUCUACGAGGCCCUUUGCAGAGGUGAAGGUGUAAAAAUGACACCUCAAAGACAGAAAAGGCUGUUUUGUAGGUACCAUGAUGGAAACAGAAACCCUCAUCUGCUCAUAGCUCCCUUUAAGGAGGAAGAUGAGUGGGAUAGCCCUCAUAUUGUACGAUACUAUGAUGUCAUGUCUGAUGAAGAAAUUGAGAAAAUUAAACAACUAGCUAAGCCAAGGCUGGCACGAGCCACAGUGCGUGAUCCCAAAACUGGUGUCCUUACAGUGGCUAGCUACAGGGUAUCAAAAAGCUCAUGGUUGGAGGAAGAUGAUGAUCCUGUUGUGGCCAAAGUGAAUCUAAGAAUGCAGCAGAUCACAGGGUUAACAGUGAAAACAGCUGAACUAUUGCAGGUUGCCAACUAUGGAAUGGGAGGGCAGUAUGAGCCACACUUCGAUUUUUCUAGGAAAGAUGAGCCAGAUGCUUUCAAGCGGUUAGGGACGGGAAAUCGCGUGGCCACUUUUUUAAACUAUGUAAGUAUGAUGCUCCUUUAUGCAUUGAGUGUAACUUCAGCAGCAUCUUGUUUACAGCUUGUGCAGUUGGUUAUUUGUGGAGAUUCCCUGGCAUCUGGAAGUAAGGAUUUCAUUACUUGCAGCAUCAGGUGCUGUCCCAUCUGAGUUGGUAGAAUUCUGCUGGUACGUAAACCUCAGAGCAGGAAAUUUGGAUAUGAGGCCCAGCUUCCCCUUUUGGCUACUGUGCUAUGAAAUCUUGUAUUUCAUUGGAUUCCAGUUGAUGGGAGAGGAGAAUUUGGCUCAUUUAUCCAAGGCGAAUGCUUGGACUACUCCUCACAGAAUAAUUCUGGUUGGAAAAGACCUUUAAGACCACUGAGUCCACAUGGGGUUUGCUGUUGGAGAAUGUGACUACCAGCCACUUGCUGUGAGACAGUCAUGUUCUUUCACCCCUGUUUGACAGCACUUGAUGUUGUGGUGUGUCAGCCUCCAUUCUCGCUGUUUGUCAGAGCUGGGGUUACUCUAGCAGAGCUGUCACCUCGGUGAAUGGAGGAGACAGCUGAUAAACUCAGUACAGCUGGGUUACAACUGGAGAACUGGGAAGACUGACUAGCUGCAUGUGUUGUACCACCUACGGACCAUGUACACUGGGAUCAGAAAUAGAAUUGCCACUGAGAUUUAGUGGCCUCAUGUUUUCACAGUAGUCUUUGAUAUUUUGUCAACCUGUACUUACUAUAUCAGUAGUUAGGGUCACCUAAUCUACUGUGUCUAACUUUUGAGUGAUAGAUCUUCAAAUUUGAAAUUCUGUGAUGAAAUAGUUCUGGCUGAGCUAGUAUUUUGAGUGUGAAAUGUAGCUCAAAAUAGAACCUGAAUUUUCCGUUUGAUGGGGCGGGGGUUGAAAUAAUUUCUGAAACAAGAAUCGGAAUAAGUAGCUGUGAACUAGUCUGCUGUUCAGAGGCUUUAAUUUUAAAUUGUCUGUAUUUUGUUUGCUUCUCAGACUUUUGGGUGAGCCUUGAUUUAGAGUGAAUGAUAAGCACUUUAUUCUCGGCCAGUUGUACAUGGUCAAAGGUGAUUUGCCCCCGUAUGUCCCACGUAGAAGACAUCACCCACGUACCAACACCCUUACUAAAAAGAGUGGUUGUGUUGCUGAGACGUAGGCAUUAACUUGCAAAGCUGCAUGCACGUGCUUUCUAGUUGGAAGGGGCAAAAACCUGUGCAUCUGUGGCAUCUUAUGCCCUUUUAUUGUAGGUACCAAGCAGGAGGACACCUGAGUGAUGAGUGAUGUAGAAGCUGGAGGAGCUACAGUUUUCCCAGAUUUCGG